CAGCAGCCGCGGUAAUACGAAGGGGGCUAGCGUUGUUCGGAUUUACUGGGCGUAAAGGGCGCGUAGGCGGGCGAAUAAGUCAGGGGUGAAAUCCCAAGGCUCAACCUUGGAACUGCCUUUGAUACUGUUUGUCUUGAGUUCGAGAGAGGUAAGUGGAACUGCGAGUGUAGAGGUGAAAUUCGUAGAUAUUCGCAAGAACACCAGUGGCGAAGGCGGCUUACUGGCUCGAAACUGACGCUGAGGCGCGAAAGCGUGGGGAGCAAACAGGAUUAGAUACCCGUGUAGUCCCUGUCUCUUAUAA
rnacentral:rRNA from 1 species